rnacentral:rRNA from 2 species
AGUGGCGCACGGGUGAGUAACGCGUGGAUAACCUGCCCUGGUAUCUGGGAUAACAUCUCGAAAGGGGUGCUAAUACCGGAUAAGCCUACGGGGUCCUCGGACUCUGCAGGAAAAGGUGGCCUCUAUUUAUAAGCUACCGUAUCAGGAUGGGUCCGCGUACCAUUAGCUAGUUGGUGGGGUAAUGGCCCACCAAGGCGACGAUGGUUAGCUGGUYUGAGAGGAUGAUCAGCCACACUGGAACUGAGACACGGUCCAGACUCCUACGGGAGGCAGCAGUGGGGAAUUUUGCGCAAUGGGGGAAACCCUGACGCAGCAACGCCGCGUGAGUGAUGAAGGCUUUCGGGUCGUAAAGCUCUGUCAGAGGGGAAGAAAUGAGUCUGGCUAAUAUCCAGAUUUCUUGACGGUACCCUCAAAGGAAGCACCGGCUAACUCCGUGCCAGCAGCCGCGGUAAUAC